GCUUCAUUCAAAUAUCUGCCCUAUCAACUUUCGAUGGUAGGAUAGUGGCCUACCAUGGUUUUAACGGGUAACGGGGAAUAAGGGUUCGAUUCCGGAGAGGGAGCCUGAGAAACGGCUACCACAUCCAAGGAAGGCAGCAGGCGCGCAAAUUACCCAAUCCCGACCGGGGAGGUAGUGACAAUAAAUAACAAUAUAGGGCUCUUUUGGGUCUUAUAAUUGGAAUGAGUACAAUUUAAAUCUCUUAACGAGAAACAAUUGGAGGGCAAGUCUGGUGCCAGCAGCCGCGGUACUUCCAGCUCCAAUAGCGUAUAUUAAAGUUGUUGCAGUUAAAAAGCUCGUAGUUG
rnacentral:rRNA from 1 species